rnacentral:rRNA from 1 species
GACGAACCGUGCGAACGUUAUUCGGAAUCACUGGGCUUAAAGCGCGUGUAGGCGGAUGGGAACGUCGGUCGUUGAAAGCCCCCGGCUCAACCGGGGAAUUGGCACCGAAACGACCCGUCUGGAGGGGCAUAGGGGGAUCUGGAACUUCCGGUGGAGCGGUGAAAUGCGUUGAGAUCGGAAGGAACGCCCGUGGCGAAAGCGAGAUCCUGGAUGUCUUCUGACGCUGAGACGCGAAAGCUAGGGUAGCGAACGGGAUUAGAUACCCCGGUAGUCCUAGCCGUAAACGAUGAGCACUGGGUAGGGGGCUCUCCGAUGGGCUCCCUGCCGUAGGGAAACCGUGAAGUGCUCCGCCUGGGGAGUAUGGUCGCAAGGCUGAA